UGAGACCCGAGAAAUUAAGUGAUAUGCGCGAGACCUGCCCGAGAAGUAAUUGGAGCCCAGUACCCCUGAUGUGGGAGUGCUGCUCUCAAGGCACAGUGCUAUACUAUGGAAAGGGGAAUAAUGGAAGGCCAGUGCCUCAGAGGAAAUGUCUGAGAACGCAGCAGGACUCCAUACUGAUGUAAAGACCUGUGGUAGGAGAAACACAGCCCAGCCCUGAGUCAGACUAAACAUGGGAAUAUUUCUCAUGGAAUGGGGACAGAGCAGAGGACAAGGUGAUAAAGAAAUAAUAUCUCCUGGCCUGGUGCGGUGGCUCAUGCCUGUAAUCCCAGCACUUUGAGAGGCCAAAGCAGGUGGAUCACUUGAGGUCAGGAAUUCGAGACCAGCCUGGCCAACAUGUCAAAAACCUGUCUAUACUAAAAAUACAAAAGCCAGGCGUGGGGGCACAUGCCUGUAAUCUCUGCUACUCAGGUCUGAAGCAUGAGAAUUACUUGAA
rnacentral:lncRNA from 1 species